UGAUCCUCCGUCACGUAGAGAAACAGAGAAGACAGGCGGUUUAACGCAGUGUAUGACUCGCCAGAGUUAGAUUCAAACGCACUGCCGAAGGCGUCCGCAGACAAAGAGCCUUUGUGAGCGGAUCAGACUGUUGGGGCCAUCUGUUGUGCUGCGGAUCUCACUGCCGCUGGCAUGAUGUGCAUUCCUAGAAUAGGAUUAAGGUCUUUGCACAAAAUAGCACGGGAAACUCCUCAUGAGCCCCCAAUGGUUCCUACCCUGUACAGGCUGACCCGCCAAUCAUCCAGAUCAAGACACCCAACAUGAAUCUGCUCUCACACCCCCCUUUCAGCCUUGUGGGUCGAAAUAUCUUGGGUAUCUUGCUCUCUAAUCAAAAAUUGAUUUCACUACUCUGACAAAACUGUAAGAUGUUUGGAUUUUUUGGGUGGAAUGCAAAGCACAUUAAGAGAUCAAUGAUAAACGGUGUCAUUUGUACAGAAUGAUAAAACAACAUUUAUUACAAUUAACUGUGUAGGCCAUUGUAGGUUUAAUUACCAUUAUAUAAGUCACAAUUGCAUGGCCAGGGCCUGUUUCAUUAUUUUUUUGUCAGGUCUUCGUUGAAAAAGGUCAGUGAUGAUGCUUGCCGACAGGAAAUUUAAAGUAGCGAAUGAAGCGCUAUUCACCAGUGCACCGCCACUGCAAUAUCAUCCUAUUAAUAUCCUCCUCAUGCACUUAUUAUAAUGAACUACAUCUCAACCAGUCAAGCAGGCUGACUCGUCGUGCUUCACCUCCUCCUCAAAAGAAUAUGCCGUGACUAUUCCAGAUCACACAGACACUAAAAACACUCACAAAUUGUAGCACUUAAAUUGUACUUACAAUGGCUCUUAUCUAUAACAAGUUGUAAAAUGGCUUAUUUGAUGUAAUUGCUUUUUCUUGUUUUUUGUUUUUCUGAGUUUGUAUCUCACCGAUGCACUUACUGUAAGUCGCUUUGGAUAAAAGCGUCAGCUAAAUGACAUGUAAUGUAAUGUAAUGUAAUACGAUUGGUGAGGAGAAGCACUAUAAUGAGCAGCAACAACAGAUUGUGGACAUAUCGAUGGCGCCACACGCUAACUCUUUAGCAUAUGCCCCGCUGUAGUGGGCGAGUAGUGGUGCCUCCAAAGUGAGAAGAAAAAAAAACGUUAAGUGCAUCUCAGGCAAGAUAGUGAGUCAUUUUAAAUUACAGUAUAUUCAGAAAAUGAUUUGGUGUAAUAAAUUGAAAAGAGUUGGACAUAAAAAUUCAUUAUCUUUUCCUUUCAGAGUGAGUUAGUACAGAGUGAGGGUUUAUUCAGUUAGUUGAAGGCUAAGUGUCAAUUUAGGUCAUUACUGUCCUACCAAAGAGUAUUGCUCAAUGUGUUAGCAGAUAUGUGUCUCUGCUGUCUGUAGCUGACUGAUACAAGGUCAUGGUGGCUGAUUAACUUUUGUCAUGUUGACCGAAUAAUU